rnacentral:ncRNA from 1 species
AUAAAAUCGCUGAUAAGAACGAGUACAUGAUGUGUAAAAUCCACAGAGAGUUGACACCUUGCUGAAAGUCAAUGUUUGAACCGUUAUGGAAAAUCCUCUUUGAGAUGUCAUGCUGAAAUGAAUUCAGAGUAAGCGUGACCGGAAUUCCCCCGUUAUGUGGAACGCGUAUGUUUGUACGUGACAAAGUGCUAUUUUUGUUAAAUAGAACUAGGGUGGUAUCGCGAGUAAAAUCGUCCCUUCA